rnacentral:lncRNA from 1 species
UUAAGAGUCAAUAGAAUGUGGGGGAAAGUGUCCAAGUUGAGAUUUAAAGUGUAUCUAUGAGAGGUUGGUUUCUGCUCUGCACAAUUCCACAACCCAUGGAAAAAUCCACAAUCUGCUUGUGGACUUCUCUGUUCUCAAAUUCGCAGUUCCAGAAGUCAAUCCACAGGUUGUGGAAAAAGCCACAACUUCCUUGUUUUUCAAUUUGUUUCUCUCGAGACAGAUCCAC